rnacentral:rRNA from 1 species
CACGUAGGCGGACUGAAAAGUUGGAGGUGAAAUCCCAGGGCUCAACCUUGGAACUGCCUUCAAAACUAUCAGUCUGGAGUUCGAGAGAGGUGAGUGGAAUUCCGAGUGUAGAGGUGAAAUUCGUAGAUAUUCGGAGGAACACCAGUGGCGAAGGCGGCUCACUGGCUCGAUACUGACGCUGAGGUGCGAAAGCGUGGGGAGCAAACA